rnacentral:lncRNA from 1 species
UGUCAGUGUUUGCAGUCAAGGAAUAAAGUCAGAACGGCGAUUGACAAGUGAGUCAUUCGUACCAAGUGUAACGUGGAAACCAGGCUAUAGCGAGGAGUUCCCACCUCCUCAAGACAAACUACUGAGAUGGGGUCCUUUUUCCCUUGUUCUGAGGGCCAGAACUUCAUCAGGGAAACACCCUGAGGGCCAAGUGGGUGAGGUCAAAGGACAGUACUCAAAAGCAGGUAAAGUAGGACCUAGCUUCUUUCUGUGAUUGCAACUGUUUUCAAGGUUGUGUUUUAAUCCGGGAAUUUGCCCUGGGAAUUCAGGAGGGUGGCUGUGUCCUUAAUAAUGUGACACAGCGCAACCCCCACAUCUGCGUGGGGUACUUCUGGAUCCAACAUAGUCCCUUGAGUGUCCACUUCAACAUCCCACUAGUGUGCCAACCUCAGUCCCUUUGUGGCCAGGGGACUCCACGCUCUGCUUCUGGUGGGAUAUUUGCAAUGCCCUCCAUGCGAAGCUGCGCUUGAAGAUGACUCGGAAAGCGAUGGAAAGCAGGGACCAAAUUAUGGGCUGGUUUCCCUCUCUUUAUUCACGGCAUUUCUAUCCACCUUUCCCCAUGAACUCCAAAAGGCAGCCAUGGGUCUCGCUCAUUCGUAUCCUGACCAGCAUUUGAGUGGCGAUUCCUGCAUUGCUCAUCUUUGGCCUAGGUGACUCUCGUGGUUCCCUCCCCACCCUAGAAUUCUGAAAUGCAAUUCAACCCCCCCCCCGGAUUCUUUGCAGAGAAGACCCUCUGCUCCCUGAUUUGCGGGGGUCUCCCUUCCCCUCCCCCCCAAAGCACCCCAGGCAAGAAGAGAGAGACUCACUCGAUGCCGGAGGCGCCUCCGAGGAGACAACAGCUGCCUCUUGACAGGAAGGGGCUGGGGAGGGCGGGGCUUGGACACCUUCAUUUCUGGUCCUCUCUAGGAAUCCAGCUCAGCUCCUCUUAACCCGGCUGAAAGACCCAGAUGAAAUCUCGUUGGAACAAAUCUCGCGGCCACAUUUCACGAGCCAUUUCCUCCGCGGGUUCUUUUCUCUCUUCUUCUCUUUGCCUGCCCCUUCCUUCUGCCCCAGCAAUGAGAGCUCAGCGCCCCCUCAGAGCAGCCCCACUUUCAAGGCAGUUCCAGAAAGCGGCAGGGGUGCAAUACUAAGCAGUGGGUCGGGGGUGGGGGAGAGAGAUGGACAGCUGAGGCCGGGCCGAGUCUGGAGCUGCAGUCCCUCAGAAACGCCACCAGGGGGCGGGGCCUCUCUCUGAUUGGCUAUCCAGACAGACAGAGGCGGGGGCGGAGCCAGCCCUUUUGGCGGGAAGAUGAGGAGCCUUUUCUGAGGGAGUUUUGAGGCUGGAGCUGAGAUGGGAGGAAGGGAGGAGGAGGAGGAGAGGCUGAGUCUGAGGGAGAAGUGGCUCUGGCCUGAGGAGAAUCUCGGGGGCCAGAAGGAGGAGAGAGGAAGAGGGGCUGAGUCGGGGGGGGGGGGAGAAGAGGGCCGAGGGAUCCCCUGGGUCUGGCGCCCAAAAUAAAAGGCCUCAGGAGGGGCAUUGCUGAGAGACAGGGAGGCUGAGGGAAAGGAACCUGGGCUGGGUCAAAAGGAUUGAACUGCUACACCUCCAUAACUAAGGAAAGGAGUGAGUGAAAAGUAACAGAAACCGAAAUGAGCAUUUUCCCACUUCGUCUAGAAACAGGAACAUCUGUUUACCUGAAGUGUAACAGCUCAUUUUAACAACUGAAGUCUAAGGAAAGCUAUGCAUAUCCUACUGGUCUACCUUAUAGGAAUGUUAUAAAAGUUUUUUUAUAUUAAGAACUUUGAAAUGUACCACACGGAGGCUGUUUCCCCCCCAUGUUGCGCCCACCCCCUCCUGCUCCCUCUUCCCUCUGCAUUCAGGGGGCACAGCUGGGCCUUUCACCAACCCCCCCUCCCUUAUUCCCACUGCCACCCCAGAACUCUGACCUGAACACUUCACCCCCAACAUAGUGAAGAAUGAGGUGUGAGGUGGAGUACAACUGAUUUAUUAAAAACAAACACUAAUUUCAAGAUAACUUGGUGUAGAUAAGUUAGGGCUGCCAUAAGUCCAGAUUUUCUUGGAUCUUAGCUAAAUCAAUAAAAAAAUCAGGUUAUUUUGGCAUUGUCAUAAAAUUUGGGGGGGUUCCUAAAAAAAGCACAACAAUGUUGGGGUCUUCCUAAAAAAUGCUCAACAGCUUUCAGGGUGUCCUGCUUUUUACUUUUUCAAAUAUGGCAACCCUAACAUAAGUGUAUGGUUUCAAAUCUUCCAGUUUUUCUGUUCAUUCUUCAUUACUUUAGUACUACUGUAACAAUGGGUAUUACAAGGAUGUUCCUCUACUACUGAGCUCAACCUCCAACUGUUUCCUUGCAGGCUUUCUCCACCAGCCUGAGGGGGCCAGAUCCAAGGUGAUGAAUAGAUGGACUCCAGCUACAAAAGCUGAGACUGCGGAAGAGGACAGAGACCAUCUUGGCUGUGAGUCCUCUAAGACCUUCUCCUUCCUUGCAGGCCUUUUCCCAUGUGGCCUAGGAAAGUCCAGACUGACUCCAGCUACAAAAGCUGGAGCCGCUGAACAAACACCUGGGCUUAGCAGGUUUGUUGUUGCUACAGGUUUUUAUGGAGCACUUUCAAAAACGCUUCAGAAUGUGCCAUGCGGAGGUUGUUUCUCUCCCAUGUAUAAUUAAAGCUCUGGUUUUCCCAGUAGUGAUGUAUGGAAGUGAGAGCUGGACCAUAAAGAAGGUUGAUCGCAGGAGAAUGGAUGCUUUUGAAUUCUGGUGCUGGAGGAGACUCUUGAGAGUCCCACGGACUGCAAGAAGAUCAAACCUCUCCAUUCUGAAGGAAAUCAGCCCUGAGUGCUCACUGGAAGGACAGAUCCUGAAGCUGAGG